UACGUAGGGGGCUAGCGUUGUCCGGAAUCAUUGGGCGUAAAGCGUGCGCAGGCGGCGCGUUAAGACAGGUGUGAAAGCCCCGAGCUUAACUUGGGAAUUGCGCUUGUGACUGGCGAGCUGGAGUAUGGCAGAGGGAGGUGGAAUUCCACGUGUAGCAGUGAAAUGCGUAGAGAUGUGGAGGAACACCGAUGGCGAAGGCAGCCUCCUGGGCCAGCACUGACGCUCAUGCACGAAAGCGUGGGGAGCAAACAGG
rnacentral:rRNA from 1 species